ACGUAGGGGGCUAGCGUUAUCCGGAAUUACUGGGCGUAAAGGGUGCGUAGGCGGCCCUUCAAGUCAGAGGUGAAAGGCUACGGCUCAACCGUAGUAAGCCUUUGAAACUGUAGGGCUUGAGUGCAGGAGAGGAGAGUAGAAUUCCCAGUGUAGCGGUGAAAUGCGUAGAUAUUGGGAGGAAUACCAGUUGCGAAGGCGGCUCUCUGGACUGUAACUGACGCUGAGACGCGAGAGCGUGGGUAGCAAACAG
rnacentral:rRNA from 1 species